rnacentral:rRNA from 1 species
AACGAACGCUGGCGGCGCGUUUUAAGCAUGCAAGUCGAGCGGUAAGGUCCUUCGGGACCCCAGAGCGGCGGACGGGUGAGUAACACGUGGAUAAUCUGCCUCCCAGUCCGGGAUAGCACAUGGAAACAUGUGAUAAUACCGGAUACGAUGUGCCUGCCACAUGGCGGGUGCAGGAAAGGUCCUGCGGGAUCGCUGGGAGAUGAGUCCGCGGCCCAUUAGCUGGCCACAUUGGGACUGAGACACGGCCCAGACUCCUACGGGAGGCAGCAGCUAAGAAUCUUCCACAAUGGACGAAAGUCUGAUGGAGCGACGCCGCGUGAACGAUGAAGGCCGUAAGGUUGUAAAGUUCUUUUUUGGAAGGAAGAAUAAGGCGGGCAGGGAAUGGGCCUGCCGAUGACGUGAAUUCCAGAAUAAGCCCCGGCUAACUACGUGCCAGCCGCCGCAGUAA